rnacentral:lncRNA from 1 species
CGUAUAUGCACUCAAUGUAAUCAUAAAGUUCAAAACCAUUCAACUGAGACGGUUUAUAAAUCCUUAUCGACUACCUUGGAGCUUGUGGUAUAGGAACUAGGUUGUUAUAUAUUUGUUGAUUACUAUCUUGUCUCUCAAAGAACCCAUUCUUCGAGUUCUAUCUCUCGUUCAUUUGCUUUUUAGGCAAAUCACAUUGUAGAAUUACAAUGAACUACCCAACAAAACAACAUUUGUUAGUUGGUUU